GGCAACCCUGCAGGGCAGGUAUUGUAUGUUCGAGCAGCCAAUCACGGAACGGCCUUAAAGACUUUUUCUAGUUGUUUAGUCUUACAAGCCCAGAACGUACUCUCUUGGAUACGGAUACCUUGUAUAUGUACAGGGUCUCACCUCUUUAGCUGUCGUCUACUCACUUUGGAAAAUGGAAGGUUCACAUUUACAUCAGAGUUAUUCUGAUGUUGAUUCAUUUCUUGCCUGUGCUGCACCUCAGUGUGUUUUCUGUGAAAAAAAGGAACUUGGAAAUAGUGGUCACCUUUUCAGAAAGCACCUGAGAGAAGCUAUUUAUUUUUCUGACAACAAUCAAGAAACAUUUGUGGCAGCCUGCUUCUGUAAGGAAGGCAGACAAGCAUUCAGGAGUCAUUACCAUUGUCCAAUGUGCAACUCUCUUGUGAUCACACGGCCCUAAACUUCAUAAAGCAUUUACAAGACAUACAUGGUAGGU